AGCAGCCGCGGUAAUUCCAGCUCCAAUAGCGUAUAUUAAAGUUGUUGCGGUUAAAAAGCUCGUAGUUGAAUUUCAGGAUCAGUUGGUCGGUCGUGCCUCGGUACGUACUGGUCAAAUUGAUUCCUACCUUCUGACGAACCACGAUGUCAUUAAUUUGGUGUCGUGGGGAAUCAAGGACUGUUACUUUGAAAAAAUUAGAGUGUUUAAAGCAGGCUCGCGCUUGAAUACAUUAGCAUGGAAUAAUGAAAUAGGACGUUUGAUUCUAUUUUGUUGGUUUCUAGGAUCGACGUAAUGAUUAAUAGGGAUAGUUGGGGGGCAUUAGUAUUCAAUUGUCAGAGGUGAAAUUCUUGGAUUUAUUGAAGACUAACUACUGCGAAAGCAUUUGCCAAGGAUGUUUUUCAUUAAUCAAGAACGAAAGUUAGGGGAUCGAAGACGAUCAGAUACCGUCGUAGUCUUAACCAUAAACUAUGCCGACUAGGGAUCGGAUGAUGUUAAUUUUUUUAAUGACUCAUUCGGCGCC
rnacentral:rRNA from 1 species